CCUAUAUGCAUUGAUUUAUUUUAGAUUUAAUAAUAAUAUUUUUUAUAAUUAAAAAUGCCGAUGGGAAGUGGAAGAAAGAAAGCUGGAGAAUGGGAUGAAGUGACUGAAGUUGAAAACAGUACAAAGGUUUCUUGUGACUAUUGUCAUGCUUUGAUUAGCAACAAGAUAGAACGAGUAAAACCCCAUUUAAAACAUUGCCAAAAAAAGUUUAAGUUUUUACACAAGCAUACAGAAAGAGAAAAUCUCAAUUUGUCAAAAUAUUUAAAUAAAAAUUGUGAUGAUGUACCAAAUAAUGAUUUAAAUAUUAGUGCAUCUGCUCUAAUAGAUGGACCAUCAUCUCCAAUAGCUGGACCAUCAGCUCAAGUUGGAAAAAGUUCUUUGGCAUCUGUAAGUUCUAUAAGUUCGUUAACACCUUGUAAGAAGCAGCGGUUGAUGUCAUCGUACACAAUAUCAACUAAUCUGGAACAGAAAGAAAAUAUUGAUAUAAAGAUAGCAAAAUUUUUCUUCAGUGCAAAUGUAUCAUUUAAAACUUCUGAAAAUCAAGAAUUUAUAGACAUGAUCAGUUCAUUGAGACCAGGAUACAAACCACCUAACCGUAAAAUGCUAGGAGGAGAGCUCUUAGAAAAAGUUUAUGAGGAAGUAAACAAAAAAAUGAUGGAUCAACUUACCCAAGAAGAGAAAACAAUAACAAUUAUGCAAGACGGAUGGAGUAGUGUUACUAAUGAUCCCAUUAUUGCUCACAGUGCAUAUGACGGACUUAAUUCUAAAAUUUUAUGCAUUACUGAUUGUGCAUCAAAUAAAAAAACAGCCAAGUAUUGUACCGAACUUCUUUGUAAUGUCAUUAAAGAUCUUAAAGAAACAUACAAUAAAGAAGUAUUUGCUGUGGUAACAGAUAAUGAAAAUAAGAUGAAAAAAAUGAGGGAUUCAAUCAAAGAAACGUAUCCAAAUCUUUUAACAUAGGGUGUUCUGCACAUUAUUUAAACCUUUUAGAAAAAGAAGUAACACACCCAGAUGUCAUCAAACAUGUGGUUGAAGUGCAGAAAUAUUUUCGUAAUACACAUCAACCGCAUGGAUGGUUGCGUGAGAAAGGAGGGCAUAUGCCUCAGUUACCAAACGAUACCCGAUGGAACUCCCAAAUUGACUGUAUAGAAACAUACAUAAAAAACUACCAAAUUUAUGUAGAAAUAGUAGAUAAUCAUGAUAUACCUAUCAAAAUCAGAAAAAUUAUUGAAAAUCGAGCAAUAUUUAGAGAAGCUAACAGUCUUCAAACCCAACUCAAAAUAUUUGGUGUUGUUUUAGAUCAAAUGCAAAGUGACAGCUGUCACCUAUCCGAAUGUGUUGAGUUGUGGCUCUCACUUCUGAAUAACCCUGAACUAAGUCAUUACCACACAGCUAUCAAAAAGAGAUGUAAUGAUGCUUUGACACCUAUCCAUUAUCUUGCAUACAUGACCAAUCCUCGCUUUUUGGGCAAAAACCUGCCGAUUGAAAAUGAAGAUGAGGCUGAAGAAUGGCUUUACAAUCAUUAUCCUGAUUUUGUACCUGGGUUGAUUUUGCUUAAAUUAAAGGAUUGUGAUGCAUUUCCUAAAAGGAUGUUGAGUAAUCAAAUUAUAUCAACAAUAUUGUGCAGUGAUUGGUGGUCUAUCAUUAACCAGAGAAAUGAAAAAUCAAUUCAGAAAAAAUUGCCUGAAGGAUUUUGCAAAUUUAUUUCUAAACUUCAAACGUGCCCUGCUAGCUCAGGAUCAAUAGAAAGAAUAUUUUCUUCAUUUGGUUUUAUUUGGUCAAAAGUUAGAAAUAAAUUAGGAUGUGAAAAGGCUAAAAAGCUUGUGCAAAUAUAUAAACAGUAUCAAAAAUAGUUUAUAGUUUAUGUUUUUACAUAAGAGUUUAUGCUUUUACAAUAUAAAGUGAAUAUUACAUUAAAGUAAAGUUGUAUUUGCAAGAAGUAUACCAAAAAUGUAAAUAGUCUUGUCAAUGUGUAUCUAUUCUAAAAAAUCUUAUUGAAUGAAUCUAAUUUGUUUGGUUUCCAAAAUAAAAUUGUGUUAAAUAAAA